GCCAUAGCUCAGCCACAGAACAUUUGUUUUUCAAGCAGAAGGUCCCAGGCUUGAUCCCUGGUGUCACCU